UACGGAGGGUGCAAGCGUUAUCCGGAUUCACUGGGCUUAAAGGGUGCGUAGGCGGGUUGGUAAGUCAGUGGUGAAAUCUCCGAGCUUAACUUGGAAACUGCCAUUGAUACUAUCAGUCUUGAAUACCGUGGAGGUCAGCGGAAUAUGUCAUGUAGCGGUGAAAUGCUUAGAUAUGACAUAGAACACCAAUGGCGAAGGCAGCUGGCUGGACGAGUACUGACGCUGAGGCACGAAAGCGUGGGGAGCAAACAGG
rnacentral:rRNA from 1 species